GGAACGACCUGUUUUCCGCCUGCUGAGGAAGGAAUUGCCACCGAGAUCGGAGACGGUAGGGGAGGUUGUUUACACGGCGUAAAGUGAGGCCGAGUUCCGGCCACCCAGCGGGGUGUAUGAGCUCUUUUAAAGGAGAACACUGUGGUUUUCAUGUUCUGAGCAUUCUGAGAUUGUGAAGGCAUAAUUCCUUUGAUUUGCUUACAGCCAAGUGGAGUUGCACAGGUCAUGGUGGCAGUAUAGCCACUUAAGUAUUCUAAAGGAGAUUUAUCAGCAGGUUGCAGGUGAACAUGGCCUUGAGGUAAAUCCUGCCCCUUGUGAAAUUUAUUUUCAGCAGAUUGUUCUUGGCAUCUUAAGGAAUUAGAAUAUUUUACAAACAAUCAAAAGUUUUGUUUUGGUUCUUUUUUAGACUUGCUUUUGCUUCUUGUAGAAGAUGAGAAACAUGUUUAAACAAAGGUUCUUUAUGCUGAAUAAAUAGGUUGCUUGAAGUUGGUCAUCUGCCUUAUUUAAAUUAAGUGAAUUUUGGCAUUCCCAUCAUGGCUCAGCAGAAACCAAUCUGACUAGCAUCCAUGAGGAUGCAGGUUCAGUCCCUGGCCUCAGUGCGUUAAGGGUCCAGCAUUGCCAUGAGCUGUGGUGCAGGUCACAGACUCAGCUUGGAAUGGCGUGGCUGUGGCUGUGGCGUAGGCCAGUGGCCACAGCUCUGAUUGGACCCCUAGCCUGGGAACCUCUGUAUGCCGCGGGUGCGGCCCUAAAAAGACAUAAAUAAAUAAAGUAGAUUUUAAAUGUCAAAGCUAAUCCUAGACUGUUUUUCCUUCAUCAAAUAUCUUAUUAAAACCUUACAGAUGCCUAGUUUUUACCCAUUUUUAUUUAUCCAUGUUAUAUUACAUGUGAAGUAAAGCCUAUUAGAACCCUGAA
rnacentral:lncRNA from 1 species